rnacentral:rRNA from 1 species
GAGCGCCGUAGCAAUACGGAGCGGCAGACGGGAGAGUAACACGUGGGAACGUGCCCUUCAGUUCGGAACAACCCAGGGAAACUUGGGCUAAUACCGGAUACGUCCGUAAGGAGAAAGAUUUAUCGCUGAAGGAUCGGCCCGCGUCUGAUUAGCUAGUUGGUGAGGUAACGGCUCACCAAGGCGACGAUCGGUAGCUGGUCUGAGAGGAUGAUCAGCCUCACUGGGACUGAGACACGGCCCAGACUCCUACGGGAGGCAGCAGUGGGGAAUAUUGGACAAUGGGCGCAAGCCUGAUCCAGCCAUGCCGCGUGGGUGAUGAAGGCCCUAGGGUUGUAAAGCCCUUUCGGCGGGGAAGAUAAUGACGGUACCCGCAGAAGAAGCCCCGGCUAACUUCGUG